AUCCCUGUGUACCUGAGGCCUUCUAAAGGUUCUUAAGAAUCCAGCUGUGUUUUCAAGCAUCCAGAUGUGCAUGUCAAGGAUGGUCCUGUCUGCAGUCGCCAGCCUGGCAGGUAGCAGAAAUCCCUACUGUAAUGAAUGGGAGCAAAUGAACUUUCUUUCCUGUUGCUAGUGAAUGCCUUCAGUAGCCAUCAGUGCCCUGGAGAUUGCCUUUGGGUUCUUCCUUUGUACCACCAUAACAAAGUCUUUGCAAUAGCACUUCACUUGAUUCUGGAUCCCCACACAACCAAGAAGUUAAGGAGCAGUUUUAGAUUGUUUUUUGAUCUGUGGGUCCCACAGGUGGCU
ensembl:lncRNA